UAUUGCCCGUGGUAUCUAAUGUCCACACAUUCAUUUAAAUGGUUGGACAUUUCGUUUUGAGGGCAUAGAUUAAUUAUACACAGGUCUUGCGACACAGUCAGCUUCUUAUAUUAACGCACAAGCUUUCUGUUACUAAAUCCCUGCGUACAUAU
rnacentral:snoRNA from 1 species